rnacentral:lncRNA from 1 species
GUGGAUCAAGCUAUCUUAACAUAUAUGUAUAUAUAUUCUUUUAUCUUAACAUAUUACAGUAUAAACUAAACUCUCUUGAAUUGUGUUAUUUUAUUUUAUUAUUUUAAUUUAUGAAUAAUAUCCAAAAUUUUCUUCAAAACAAAGAGUUGGCCAGAAUAAGGGGUAAUGGAAAAGAAUGGAGUAUUGCUUUGAAGCAAAUAAAAGAAGGAAACAUACUACUUUACUUUGAAGAGUUGCUUCUAACGCCAAGUCAUGACAACUCUCUCCGGACUUGAUUCUAUGUGUUUUUGAUAAUGUAUAUUGUUUGGAACCUUGGAUUAUUGUUUUUUUUUUGCUAAUUUAUUUAUUGUCUUUUUUUUUGUUUAUUCAUUUCUUCCAAACUUUCGGUUUUCCAUCUCCAAACUAUGCUCCUUUAAAUUUCAAAAUUAAUUAUCAUUAUUACUCUUUUAUUGUUUAUUUUUCGACUUUCAACAUAGUGUGAAAUGAAUGAAAUCUGAAGAAGUUUUCAUUUAUUUGUAAUUGUGUUUAAUUUCGCCAUGAAUGAAAUCAUGCUUUGAAGUUUAUUGGUAUCCAAGUUGUAAUUUCAUCAACCUCUUUUAGUUGGUAUAAAUUCAUCCUUGUGCUUAAAUUUUCUGCAUACGCAAAUACUUAGACACUAGAGUUGAC